rnacentral:lncRNA from 1 species
UUUUCAGGUCACACAUUAGGCUCAUCCUAGAAAACAGGAGAUGCUGUGCUAAAGAAUUCACUCUGGGAGAUGGGCGGGCAGAAGACAAAUUCUCCCUUGUCAAUUCAGUCUGGAUUUAGUCACCAGCUUCUGCAUCUCUUCUAAUGGACAAGCCAUCCCAUCCUUUAAUCAUACCGAGGAGUGAUACACAGGCACACCUGGAGACUUCCCACACCUGAACCCUCCACUGAGGUUGUUUAUGUCCCCUAGACAAUUGCAGCUCCAAAAAGUGUUAACCUUGACACCUUACAUCUGCACCGGGCACAGCAGGCUGUCACAGGUGCGAUGUCAUUAGGCUGGUACAAGGUCCCGUGGCCUGACAGCAGCUGACAGCGAGAGUCACAGCGUAGAG